GCUCUCUCCUCCUCCUUCUUGUAUUGCUCAAAUCAUUGAGAUUGAGCAUUCUAUUACUAGCUAGUUUCUUUUUGUUUUUUUGUUUUUCCUUUUUUCCCCUUCAAAAAAAAAAAGACUGUCGCUGGUGCCAUAGCUCGUGUAAGUACUUUCCAUGGGUUUAAUGGGUGUGAAUCAAGGGUUAUGACAUGUUUGAAUUAAGGAAGCAAGGACACGGUAUAUUUGCAUCUGUUCCGGGUUUAGUUUCAAGCUGAAAACAAGGAAGAAUACCCGAUGCUACUUCCCUUGAUUUAAUAAAGUUUUAGAAGAUCACAUAAGAAAUUGAAGUUGGGUUUUGUUCCAAUUCAAAUCUCAGCAAGAGAGAAGGACAAAUAAGCUCUUCUAUUACCUGUCUCUGCCACUGAAGAUUGCUGCCAUUGUUAUGAAAUGAUUUUGAGUAAUGGGGUUGUGCGAAUUUGUGUGGAAUGUGAAUGCAGGGAAGGAGAUGUGUAUGAGGAUCAAUAACAGUUCAUAUUUGGUAACACCAGCAAAUGGCACAACACCUGUUCGAGAAAAAGCCUGAACGAAUAGUUCUUUACAUCAAAUUCAGCUGGGACCAGCUUAGUCCUGUUGUAGUAAGCUGUGGUUCAGGUGGGUGUUUACUAGGAGAAUUUGGCAUUGAUAGGAGUUGUUUCGACAACGCCAGCGAAGAGAAGAUAAAGGCCAUCAGUUUAUUUCAGUUUUGGGCAAGAGUUUCAAGCCGGGAAGUUAGCAAAGCAAGUGAGUUGCUGUCGUUUAAUUGUGAAUGGAUGGAAGAGAUUAAGCGGUGAUUUAGAGUUCGGGACGAAUUAGGAAACUUGGGUCCCUGUCUGUUUCGAAUUUGCAGGAUUGAGUAGACGCAAGGUAGAACCGAGCUUUAAAAGAAAAACUACCACCAGUUCCUUGCAUCACCUGUACCACCUGCAUAUAGCCAUCUCCCUCAUUAUCCACAGCGAACUAUCAUAUACCCCUCACCACUGCGGCAUCUCCAGCAGGGAGGAGCUUUGCUCCUCUCCAAAACCUUCACCAAUCCGCGUGUACCUGCCUAUUUGCAUAGUUCAGCAUCAUAACUACUCCAUCAUCACCUGCAUAUCCUCCACCAGUGCUACCAUCUCAUAUACACCUGCAUCCACCAGCAUACCACCAACAACACACAUUCAUCACCUGUUGUUUACCCUCCAUCCACCUUCGCAACACCAAGGCAGCAGACCUGCCGGAAACUACUACAGCAGCAGCAACCAUCAUCAUUUCACUGUUCCCAGGCCACGGAGUUCACCACUACCAGCUACAUCAUUCCACCACAACCAUCAGUUGUUGUUUGUUUGGUUUGCUUACAAAGGUUUUUCUCCUUACAACAUAGAGGGUCUUCGAUUCUCCACAGCUGAAAACUCAACUCAGAUUGUUGGAUCCUAUGAGGAAGAUGAAGGAACCGAAACUGAAGUGAAGAAGUCGAUCUAUGGAUGAUCAAGGCGGCGACGUAUCUCAAUCAUCUUCGGAGGAAGACGAAUAAGGAAAUCACCACGAUUCGGAACCAAAUGGAAUGAAUGGUGAUUCCAAUGACUCUGGUAAUGCCGAUGCUUUAAAGGACUUAGAGACUUCUCAAGUGCAAAAUAGUGAAAUUGAAGAAAACAUGGCCACUGAGAGCGUUGUCGUGGAUCGGGUUGGUAACGAGAUUCUCCAUGUAUCAAAAGCUCAUGUGAAUGCUACUUCAGACUCCAUAGAGACAUAAUUCCAAGUGGAUGUUAUUCUAUGAACCGAAGGAGAUACUCCUGAAAAGACGAGGGUACCCAAAUACACCACAAUCUUUUAUUUAGAUCACAACCUAUACAAGACCCACUGUGUAUAAACCUCUUGGAGAUACAAUCACUCAUGGACUAUUUCAACACAGUGUCCACUUGAUAGGGCUAGUCCGAACUGUCCUAACUCGUGAAUUAAAUAUCAAAGGCAAGUGGAGAAAGCCAAUACACUUUGUGUGAUUGUCUAUGGAUAUGGGAUCGAGACAAUACAACAACA